GAAAAAGGAAAACCCGAGGUCCUUCACUCCUCCUGGCCACUGGAGCGGUGUGUUGCCUGCACCUCUUUUAGACUUUUCUUCUGUGUGGAGAAACCCGACUGCUCCUCUGCGUCCCACACCCGGUGGGACUUCAUCAACAGGUCGGCCAAGACCUGCCCUGUGAGGCCCCUCUUUGCCUUGAAGAUUUCAAUGAGCCUGGGACUGUGUUGAUCAAGGGCCUCAUAGAACUCUUGUUUCAGGCUUUUACCAACAACCCUACUGAACUCCAGACACACCUCAAACAUGUAAAAAAAAUAAAAAUAAAUAAAUUAAAACAUG